CCUACGGGAGGCAGCAGUGGGGAAUAUUGCACAAUGGGCGGAAGCCUGAUGCAGCGACGCCGCGUGAGGGAUGAAGGCCUUCGGGUUGUAAACCUCUUUCAGCAGGGACGAAGCGUGAGUGACGGUACCUGCAGAAGAAGCACUGGCUAACUACGUGCCAGCAGCCGCGGUAAUACGUAGGGUGCGAGCGUUGUCCGGAAUUACUGGGCGUAAAGAGUUCGUAGGCGGUUUGUCGCGUCGUUUGUGAAAACCCGGGGCUCAACUUCGGGCUUGCAGGCGAUACGGGCAGACUUGAGUGUUUCAGGGGAGACUGGAAUUCCUGGUGUAGCGGUGAAAUGCGCAGAUAUCAGGAGGAACACCGGUGGCGAAGGCGGGUCUCUGGGAAACAACUGACGCUGAGGAACGAAAGCGUGGGUAGCAAACAGGAUUAGAUACCCUGGUAGUCCACGCCGUAAACGGUGGCGCUAGGUGUGGGGUUCCUUCCAACGGGUAUCUGUGCCGUAGCUAACGCAUUAAGCGCCCGCGUGGGAGUACGGCGCGAGACGAACUACAANAGAGUAGACGGCGNGAGACGUGCCGACGACGACGACGAGGGAGUAGG
rnacentral:rRNA from 1 species